UUUUGGGGACAAACUAUCCUGAAAAAGCCGGAUCUCCUCUUGUGUUGGAAGCUAUGCAGGGUCGGGCCUGGUUAGUACUUGGAUGGGAGACCCUCUGGGAUUACAGGGUGCUGUAGGCU
rnacentral:rRNA from 1 species